GACGAACCGUCCAAACGUUAUUCGGAAUCACUGGGCUUACAGAGUUCGUAGGCGGUCUGGAAAGUUGGGUGUGAAAUCCCUCGGCCUAACCGAGGAACUGCGCUUGAAACUACCAGACUCGAGGGAGAUAGAGGAAAGCGGAACUGAUGGUGGAGCGGUGAAAUGCGUUGAUAUCAUCAGGAACACCGGUGGCGAAGGCGGCUUUCUGGGUCUUACCUGACGCUGAGGAACGAAAGCCAGGGGAGCGAACGGG
rnacentral:rRNA from 1 species